rnacentral:rRNA from 1 species
AGGACGAACGCUGGCGGCGUGCUUAACACAUGCAAGUCGAGCGGUAAGGCCCUUUCGGGGGUACACGAGCGGCGAACGGGUGAGUAACACGUGAGCAAUCUGCCCUUCACUUCGGGAUAAGCCUCGGAAACGGGGUCUAAUACCGGAUAUGACUGCGCCAUGCAUGUGGUGUGGUGGAAAGUUCUGGCGGUGAGGGAUGAGCUCGCGGCCUAUCAGCUUGUUGGUGGGUAAUGGCCUACCAAGGCUUCGACGGGUAGCCGGCCUGAGAGGGUGACCGGCCACACUGGGACUGAGACACGGCCCAGACUCCGUACGGGAGGCAGCGAGUGGGGAAUAGUUGGACAAGUGGGACGAAAGCCGUAGACUCCGAGCCAACCGGCCGUCGGUGA